UACGUAGGGUGCGAGCGUUGUCCGGAAUUAUUGGGCGUAAAGAGCUCGUAGGCGGUGUGUCACGUCGGCCGUGAAAACCUGCAGCUUAACUGUGGGCGUGCGGUCGAUACGGGCAUCACUGGAGUUCGGCAGGGGAGACUGGAAUUCCUGGUGUAGCGGUGAAAUGCGCAGAUAUCAGGAGGAACACCGGUGGCGAAGGCGGGUCUCUGGGCCGACACUGACGCUCAUGCACGAAAGCGUGGGGAGCAAACAGG
rnacentral:rRNA from 1 species